UCCCCCGCUUCUCCUCCCUGAGCGGGGUGCCUUAACCCUUAAGGCAUCUUUUGGCCCCGAUCCUUCGUGUGAUCGGGGCUUUCUUUU
rnacentral:ncRNA from 1 species